ACAUAUAACUAAAGGAGCAAAACACAUUAAAGGAAUAUGAAGUUUAUAAUUUAAAGCACUUUCAUUAAUUCUUCUGUUAAAACGUGUGUAUUAUUUGAGCUGUGAUGUUGUUUAUGUCUUGUGUUUAUACAGUAUUUGAAUGUUUACAGAUUAAACCCCGUUGACUUCUGUUGUAAGUGUCUCACUGGAACACACGUUUGUGCUUUUAUUUUUAAAGCUCAUGUUUGACCUGCUAGAUAUAAAUCCAUCCAUCCAUCCAUCGUCAACCGCUUAUCCUGUGUACAGGGUCGCGGGGGGCUGGAGCCUAUCCCAGCUAACAUUGGGCGAAAGGCGGGGGACACCCUGGACAGGUCGCCAGUCCAUCGCAGGGCCUAGAUAUAAAUCAUUAUUUUAAAAUUUUUAGUUUUUUUUUUUUUGCUGGAGUGGUGGUGGCGUAGUGGGCUAAAGCACAUAACUGGUAAUCAGGAGGUUGCUGGUUCGAUCCCCACAGUCACCACCAUUGUGUCCUUGAGUAAGACACUUAACUCCAGGUUGCUCCGGGGGGAUUGUCCCUGUAAUAAGUGCUCUGUAUAAUACAUUGGUACUCAGAAGGUUGCUGGUUUGAUCCCCACAGUCACCACCAUUGUGUCCUUGAGUAAGACACUUAACUCCAGGUUGCUCCGGGGGGAUUGUCCCUGUAAUAAGUGCUCUGUAUAAUACAUUGGUACUCAGAAGGUUGCUGGUUCGAUCCCCACAGUCACCACCAUUGUGUCCUUGAGUAAGACACUUAACUCCAGGUUGCUCCGGGGGGAUUGUCCCUGUAAUAAGUGCUCUGUAUAAUACAUUGGUACUCAGAAGGUUGCUGGUUCGAUCCCCACAGUCACCACCAUUGUGUCCUUGAGUAAGACACUUAACUCCAGGUUGCUCCGGGGGGAUUGUCCCUGUAAUAAGUGCUCUGUAUAAUACAUUGGUACUCAGAAGGUUGCUGGUUCGAUCCCCACAGUCACCACCAUUGUGUCCUUGAGUAAGACACUUAACUCCAGGUUGCUCCGGGGGGAUUGUCCCUGUAAUAAGUGCUCUGUAUAAUACAUUGGUACUCAGAAGGUUGCUGGUUCGAUCCCCACAGUCACCACCAUUGUGUCCUUGAGUAAGACACUUAACUCCAGGUUGCUCCGGGGGGAUUGUCCCUGUAAUAA